rnacentral:rRNA from 1 species
UACGGAGGGUGCAAGCGUUAUCCGGAUUCACUGGGUUUAAAGGGUGCGUAGGCGGACAGGUAAGUCAGUGGUGAAAUCUCCGAGCUUAACUCGGAAACUGCCUUUGAUACUCUCUGUCUUGAAUAUGGUGGAGGUAAGCGGAAUAUGUCAUGUAGCGGUGAAAUGCUUAGAGAUGACAUAGAACACCUAUUGCGAAGGCAGCUUACUACGCCUAGAUUGACGCUGAGGCACGAAAGCGUGGGGAUCAAACAGG